rnacentral:ncRNA from 1 species
UUGAUAGAGGCGCGGCGUUCAAGAGUAUCCUGCGGAGAGGCAUCGGUGAGGCAGGCGAAAGGGGACGCUGCCGAAGGGACCGGACCGGCGGGUUCUGUCUACUGGGCCUGCCGUGAACAAUGACAGGACUGUCGCUGCCGCGCGGCAGCGGAGAGCUAUCU